rnacentral:rRNA from 1 species
ACCGUCUGCCGACGAGGAGGGACAUU